ACGGGAGGCAGCAGUAGGGAAUUUUCGUCAAUGGGGGGAACCCUGAACGAGCAAUGCCGCGUGAGUGAAGAAGGUCUUCGGAUCGUAAAGCUCUGUUGUGAGAGAAAAAUGCCAUGCAUAGGAAAUGAUGCAUGGGUGAUGGUAUCUCGCCAGAAAGUCACGGCUAACUACGUGCCAGCAGCCGCGGUAAUACGUAGGUGGCGAGCGUUAUCCGGAAUGAUUGGGCGUAAAGGGUGCGUAGGUGGCACGGUAAGUCUGAAGUGAAAGGCGGCAGCUCAACUGUCGUAUGCUUUGGAAACUGCCGAGCUAGAGUGCAGGAGAGGGCGAUGGAACUCCAUGUGUAGCGGUAAAAUGCGUAGAUAUAUGGAAGAACACCAGUGGCGAAGGCGGUCGCCUGGCCUGUAACUGACACUGAAGCACGAAAGCGUGGGGAGCAAAUAGGAUUAGAUACCCUGGUA
rnacentral:rRNA from 1 species